rnacentral:lncRNA from 1 species
CUUUGUGUCAACUUGAUGGAUUUAAAAUAAGCAUCGUCUUUCAGCAACAUGAUGGACUGAAACAGACAGUGGCCUUCAAGUGAUGUUGAGAGGACCACUUGAAUGGCUGAUCCUGAAGAAUGUGAGGAAUGACUGACUCUCUACUUCCUCUUCAAAUCUGGGGGAAUGCUAAACGUGACUCUCGUGUGGGAUACACAGUUAGUGAUAUCUGAGUUGGAAAAAAUGUACACCUUGAGCCAUCUGCUUGCCACCAGUCCCCAAAGCAUCUUUCCGACGCUGAGAAGCCAUGUUGGAACCUAAGAUUUUGCUCCACUGACUUAACCCCAAUGUUAAGCUAACAAUUUUUACAAGGAAGCGUCUGGAAAGAAUGAGAAGAGUUUCUUCAACCAUGUCAAAACUCAAGCAAAUGUAUUCAUAGCUCUUUGAUAUGUCAUGAUUGCCCUUCAGAUAAAUGUAAUCUAAGAGAUAUCUCUAUUUGUAGAAACUAAAAG